AUUGAACGCUGGCGGAAUGCUUUACACAUGCAAGUCGAACAGCAGCACGGACUUCGGUCUGGUGGCGAGUGGCGAACGGGUGAGUAAUGUAUCGGAACGUGCCCAGUCGUGGGGGAUAACGUAGUGAAAAUUACGCUAAUACCGCAUACGAUCUAUGGAUGAAAGCGGGGGAUCGCAAGACCUCGCGCGAUUGGAGCGGCCGAUAUCAGAUUAGGUAGUUGGUGGGGUAAAGGCCCACCAAGCCAACGAUCUGUAGCUGGUCUGAGAGGACGACCAGCCACACCGGAACUGAGACACGGUCCAGACUCCUACGGGAGGCAGCAGUGGGGAAUUUUGGACAAUGGGCGAAAGCCUGAUCCAGCCAUUCCGCGUGCAGGAUGAAGGCCCUCGGGUUGUAAACUGCUUUUGUACAGAACGAAAAGGUUUCUACUAAUACUAGGAGCUCAUGACGGUACUGUAAGAAUAAGCACCGGCUAACUACGUGCCAGCAGCCGCCGUAA
rnacentral:rRNA from 1 species